rnacentral:tRNA from 1 species
GCUUUACUGGAUAGCUCAGGUGGUAAAGCACGAGACUCUUAACCUCAGGGUUAUGGAUUUGAGCUCCAUGUUGGGCA